UACGAAGGGGGCUAGCGUUGGUCGGAAUUACUGGGCGUAAAGCGCACGUAGGCGGAUAUUUAAGUCAGGGGUGAAAUCCCAGAGCUCAACUCUGGAACUGCCUUUGAUACUGGGUAUCUUGAGUAUGGAAGAGGUGAGUGGAAUUCCGAGUGUAGAGGUGAAAUUUGUAGAUAUUCGGAGGAACACCAGUGGCGAAGGCGGCUCACUGGUCCAUUACUGACGCUGAGGUGCGAAAGCGUGGGGAGCAAACAGG
rnacentral:rRNA from 1 species